AGUGAACGCUGGCGGUAGGCCUAACACAUGCAAGUCGAACGGCAGCACAGUAAGAGCUUGCUCUUACGGGUGGCGAGUGGCGGACGGGUGAGGAAUACAUCGGAAUCUACUUUUUCGUGGGGGAUAACGUAGGGAAACUUACGCUAAUACCGCAUACGACCUACGGGUGAAAGCAGGGGAUCUUCGGACCUUGCGCGAUUGAAUGAGCCGAUGUCGGAUUAGCUAGUUGGCGGGGUAAAGGCCCACCAAGGCGACGAUCCGUAGCUGGUCUGAGAGGAUGAUCAGCCACACUGGAACUGAGACACGGUCCAGACUCCUACGGGAGGCAGCAGUGGGGAAUAUUGGACAAUGGGCGCAAGCCUGAUCCAGCCAUACCGCGUGGGUGAAGAAGGCCUUCGGGUUGUAAAGCCCUUUUGUUGGGAAAGAAAAGAAGCAGGUUAAUCCCCCGAUGUUCUGACGGUACCCAAAGAAUAAGCACCGGCUAACUUCGUG
rnacentral:rRNA from 1 species